GCUGGAUUCGCUAGUAAUCGCGCAUCAGCCAUGGCGCGGUGAAUACGUUCCCGGGCCCUUGUACACACCGCCCGUCAAGCCAUGGAAGCCGGGGGUGCCUGAAGUGUGCAGCCGCAAGGAGCGCCCUAAGGUAAAACCGGUGACUGGGGCUAAGUCGUAACAAGGUAAC
rnacentral:rRNA from 1 species